rnacentral:rRNA from 3 species
ACUUAAAUUGAAGAGUUUGAUCAUGGCUCAGAUUGAACGCUGGCGGCAGGCCUAACACAUGCAAGUCGAGCGGUAGCACAGAGAGCUUGCUCUCGGGUGACGAGCGGCGGACGGGUGAGUAAUGUCUGGGAAACUGCCUGAUGGAGGGGGAUAACUACUGGAAACGGUAGCUAAUACCGCAUAAUGUCGCAAGACCAAAGUGGGGGACCUUCGGGCCUCAUGCCAUCAGAUGUGCCCAGAUGGGAUUAGCUAGUAGGUGGGGUAACGGCUCACCUAGGCGACGAUCCCUAGCUGGUCUGAGAGGAUGACCAGCCACACUGGAACUGAGACACGGUCCAGACUCCUACGGGAGGCAGCAGUGGGGAAUAUUGCACAAUGGGCGCAAGCCUGAUGCAGCCAUGCCGCGUGUGUGAAGAAGGCCUUCGGGUUGUAAAGCACUUUCAGCGGGGAGGAAGGCGUUAAGGUUAAUAACCUUGGCGAUUGACGUUACCCGCAGAAGAAGCACCGGCUAACUCCGUGCCAGCAGCCGCGGUAAUACGGAGGGUGCAAGCGUUAAUCGGAAUUACUGGGCGUAAAGCGCACGCAGGCGGUCUGUCAAGUCGGAUGUGAAAUCCCCGGGCUCAACCUGGGAACUGCAUUCGAAACUGGCAGGCUAGAGUCUUGUAGAGGGGGGUAGAAUUCCAGGUGUAGCGGUGAAAUGCGUAGAGAUCUGGAGGAAUACCGGUGGCGAAGGCGGCCCCCUGGACAAAGACUGACGCUCAGGUGCGAAAGCGUGGGGAGCAAACAGGAUUAGAUACCCUGGUAGUCCACGCCGUAAACGAUGUCGAUUUGGAGGUUGUGCCCUUGAGGCGUGGCUUCCGGAGCUAACGCGUUAAAUCGACCGCCUGGGGAGUACGGCCGCAAGGUUAAAACUCAAAUGAAUUGACGGGGGCCCGCACAAGCGGUGGAGCAUGUGGUUUAAUUCGAUGCAACGCGAAGAACCUUACCUGGUCUUGACAUCCACAGAACUUUCCAGAGAUGGAUUGGUGCCUUCGGGAACUGUGAGACAGGUGCUGCAUGGCUGUCGUCAGCUCGUGUUGUGAAAUGUUGGGUUAAGUCCCGCAACGAGCGCAACCCUUAUCCUUUGUUGCCAGCGGUCCGGCCGGGAACUCAAAGGAGACUGCCAGUGAUAAACUGGAGGAAGGUGGGGAUGACGUCAAGUCAUCAUGGCCCUUACGACCAGGGCUACACACGUGCUACAAUGGCAUAUACAAAGAGAAGCGACCUCGCGAGAGCAAGCGGACCUCAUAAAGUAUGUCGUAGUCCGGAUUGGAGUCUGCAACUCGACUCCAUGAAGUCGGAAUCGCUAGUAAUCGUAGAUCAGAAUGCUACGGUGAAUACGUUCCCGGGCCUUGUACACACCGCCCGUCACACCAUGGGAGUGGGUUGCAAAAGAAGUAGGUAGCUUAACCUUCGGGAGGGCGCUUACCACUUUGUGAUUCAUGACUGGGGUGAAGUCGUAACAAGGUAACCGUAGGGGAACCUGCGGUUGGAUCACCUCCUUACCUUAAAGAA